ACCGCGGUUAUACGAGAGACCCUAGUUGAUACCUACGGCGUAAAGAGUGGUUUGGGAUCCCCCCCAAAAUAAAGCCAAAGACCUCCCAAGCCGUCAAAUGCACCCCGGAGGCACGAAGCCCCAAUGCGAAAGCAACUUUACCUCCCCCCGACGCCACGAAAGCUAAGAAACAAACUGG
rnacentral:rRNA from 1 species